CAAUAGCGUAUAUUAAAGUUGUUGCAGUUAAAAAGCUCGUAGUUGGAUUUGUGGCGUACGGUGUGUUCCGGGCACUUGUUGUCUGAGUAACCUGCUGUUGCCAUCCUUGGGUGGAACCUGUGUGGCAUUAGGUUGUCGUGCAGGGGAUGCCCAUCAUUUACUGUGAAAAAAUUAGAGUGUUCAAAGCAGGCUUAUGCCGUUGAAUAUAUUAGCAUGGAAUAAUGAGAUAGGACUUUUUUGCUAUUUUGUUGGUUUGCGCAAGAAGGUAAUGAUUAAUAGGGACAGUUGGGGGUAUUCGUAUUCCAUUGUCAGAAGUGAAAUUCUUGGAUUUUUGGAAGACGAACUACUGCGAAAGCAUUUACCAAGGAUGUUUUCAUUAA
rnacentral:rRNA from 1 species